AAUGUAAUGAUCUUUACUACUUCUCAAUUUUUUUUUUCAAGUUUGUGACAGCAGCCUUGAAUGAGGCUUGGGAGCAAGAGAUCUACAUUAUUUACGGAUGCAAGAUCUAUAUUACAGAGUAACUUGUUGUGGUGGUCGCAAAUUCUGUGUAUAGGAGCCCGUUUGCUUGGGUUGGAACACUUGGAACGCGUAAUCAAUAAGCUAAAUAAGUGUUUGGACCUGCUCAACUUCUGCGGAGUGCAGACUGCGGCUAGGGCUACGAGGGGCUGCGGACAGUCUACAAUACAAUACAAUCGAUGUUACGCGCUCAUUUUAAAACGACUUGCUCAAAUGAUAUGAAACAGGCAUAGAUAUUCAAAUGACUCAAAAAAGGAUCACACAUUCGAAAAGAAAGGUGAAAAACGAAGACCUUGCGCAUGGUGUUACAAAAGGCUUCGGUCUACGUUCAAAAGUAGGGAGGCUUGCAACAAAGUUCCCAAAACCAAGUCCUACUGCGUAGAAUGCGAUAAAGGGUACUGCCUCAGGUGUUUCUGUGAGAGUCACUCAAUCACACAAUUUAUCUUGUAAUACAUUCAAGUUAAAUGUA